CACGUAGGGGGCGAGCGUUGUCCGGAUUUAUUGGGCGUAAAGAGCUCGUAGGCGGCUCAGUAAGUCAGGUGCGAAAACUCCAGGCUCAACCUGGAGACGCCACUUGAUACUGCUGUGGCUAGAGUCCGGUAGGGGAGCAUGGAAUUCCUGGUGUAGCGGUGAAAUGCGCAGAUAUCAGGAGGAACACCGGUGGCGAAGGCGGGUCUCUGGGCCGUAACUGACGCUGAGGAGCGAAAGCAUGGGGAGCGAACAGG
rnacentral:rRNA from 1 species